UACAGAGGUCUCAAGCGUUGUUCGGAUUUACUGGGCGUAAAGGGCGCGUAGGCGGCCAGCACAAGUCAGUUGUGAAAUCUCCGGGCUUAACUCGGAAAGGUCAACUGAUACUGUGCGGCUAGAGUGCGGAAGGGGCAACUGGAAUUCUCGGUGUAGCGGUGAAAUGCGUAGAUAUCGAGAGGAACACCUGCGGCGAAGGCGGGUUGCUGGGCCGACACUGACGCUGAGGCGCGAAAGCCAGGGGAGCGAACGGG
rnacentral:rRNA from 1 species